CCUACGGGGGGCAGCAGUGGGGAAUCUUCCGCAAUGGGCGCAAGCCUGACGGAGCAACGCCGCGUGAGUGAAGAAGGUCUUCGGAUCGUAAAGCUCUGUUGAUGGGGACGAACGUGCCUAAUGCGAAUAGUAUUAGGUAAUGACGGUACCCAUCGAGGAAGCCACGGCUAACUACGUGCCAGCAGCCGCGGUAAUACGUAGGUGGCGAGCGUUGUCCGGAAUCAUUGGGCGUAAAGGGAGCGCAGGCGGGCAUGUAAGUCUUUCUUAAAAGUGCGGGGCUCAACCCCGUGAUGGGAAAGAAACUAUGUGUCUUGAGUACAGGAGAGGAAAGCGGAAUUCCCAGUGUAGCGGUGAAAUGCGUAGAUAUUGGGAGGAACACCAGUGGCGAAGGCGGCUUUCUGGACUGCAACUGACGCUGAGGCUCGAAAGCCAGGGGAGCGAACGGGAUUAGAUACCCUUGUAGUC
rnacentral:rRNA from 1 species